ACACACAUAUUAGUCAUUAUCGCGAACACGCUUAAAAAGCAAGAUGUCCUGUACUCCGCGGCUACCGCUUGCCAGUGGAAAAAAUGCUUUCUUUGGGAGGACCAGGACACUUUUGACAUAUUUAAAAACCAAAAGGGGAAAAUUUAUGACGUUACACAGCACUGGAGCUCUGGCUGCUUACGGAACAACGGCAUUGGCUAUGGCUAUAUAUCUGCUCAACUUCAGGCCGAUCCUUGGACGUAUCCCCUAUGUCAAGAACUCUUAUCCCUUGCCACCUCCACCACCACCUCCGAAGAAAUAGUCAUAGUGCAGGAGGAUUGUAGUGUACAGAUUUUAAAUUAAGAAUUGUGUUUCCAUGGAGUUCAGUCUAGAACAGGACAAGUGUUACUUCAGUAAAAGGAUUAUGGAGCGAGACCACCAUAGACAACUCCUUGGAAGUUUUUCUCAAUCCUGCAACAUAUGUUGUUUUCAAUUUAAAUAAAUUAGGAUAAAACUUAAUUGUAAA